UUUUUCAUUAUUAUUUUUGCUGCACGCAAGAAACAUGACGCACGUGCGCGGUAAAAAUCUUCAACGGGGUUCCCCCUGUUGAAUUCGGAUGUAACUUUUCGAGUAGAUGAUUUUUCAUAUAAAAAACUUUUUAAUCCGAGUCCGUAUGCAAAAGUUUAGCCCAUUUUACGAAAUCCCAGAGAGAUUUUGCAAAUAAAGUCAAAACUCAUAUUUGUAAAUUUUCCAUACAACUAGACCACAUAUCACAUGGGAAACUUAUUUUUUUGACAUUUCCAUCAUCUUCUUUUAUUUUUUUGAAAACUGAAAAGGCGGUCCACGGGGGGGGGGGUGAAAACCGUGGUAAACGUGCGAACGGUUGUUGAGGUGGAGAGAAAGUAGUAUGGUGAAGUAUCGAGCGGUGGCAAGGAAUGUGCGGUAGAGUUUGUAGUGGAGCUUGGAGGGGGGAGCAUAAGGGACGAAGGGAUAAGAAACAUGUCGGAUGCGAUCAUACCAGCACUAAAGCACCGGGAUCCCAUCAGAACUCCGAAGUUAAACGUGCUUGGGCGAGAGUAGUACUAGGAAGUUAAGCGUGCUUGGGCGAGAGUAGUACUAGGAUGGGUGACCUCCUGGGAAGUCCUCGUGUUGCAUUCCC
rnacentral:rRNA from 1 species